GCCGGGGUGGUGGAAAAUGGUAGACACGCUACUUUGAGGUGGUAGUGCCUUUUUGGCUUACGGGUUCAAAUCCCGUUCUCGGUA
rnacentral:tRNA from 1 species